CCUACGGGAGGCAGCAGUGGGGAAUUUUCCGCAAUGGGCGAAAGCCUGACGGAGCAACGCCGCGUGAGGGAUGGAGGCCUCUGGGCUGUAAACCUCUUUUAUCAAGGAAGAAGAUCUGACGGUACUUGAUGAAUAAGCCAUGGCUAAUUCCGUGCCAGCAGCCGCGGUAAUACGGGAGUGGCAAGCGUUAUCCGGAAUUAUUGGGCGUAAAGCGUCCGCAGGCGGUCUUGUAAGUCUGUCGUUAAAGCGUGGAGCUCAACUCCAUUUCGGCGGUGGAAACUACAAGACUAGAGUGUGGUAGGGGCAGAGGGAAUUCCCGGUGUAGCGGUGAAAUGCGUAGAUAUCGGGAAGAACACCAGUGGCGAAGGCGCUCUGCUGGGCCAUAACUGACGCUCAUGGACGAAAGCUAGGGGAGCGAAAGGGAUUAGAUACCCCUGUAGUCCUAGCCGUAAACGAUGAACACUAGGUGUCGGGGGAAUCGACCCCCUCGGUGUCGUAGCUAACGCGUUAAGUGUUCCGCCUGGGGAGUACGCACGCAAGUGUGAAACUCAAAGGAAUUGACGG
rnacentral:rRNA from 1 species